rnacentral:lncRNA from 1 species
AAAGUAUCAAAGAAGUGUACUGUAGAGUUUCCUGGCAAAUGUCAAAACACAAUGCUGAUGUUAAGGCUUAUGAUCGCAUAUUUUUCUAGUACCAUUCUUUGAAGUUGUAAGUGGUAAAGAAUGGAGUUUGCAGACAUUGUCCGCCCGGGAAAAGAGGAAAAGAACAAGAAAGGGAAUUCUUGGUGAGAAGUUAUGCUCGGGGUUAGAUGAUUAUGAUGGUCUGCUUUGUUUGGUCAUUUUCUUUAUUGGUGUGGUAGGAAAUUUAGAAGGGGAUUCUAUUUUGGUUAGGUGGUGUACAAUGUUCUAUUGUAUCUACCAAGCUGUCACGGUAUAUUCUGUAUAAAUUUAUUUAUCAGGUCGAUAAGAAUCCUUAGAUAAUUGAGAUAAUUCAGAACAAGUUCUCGCCAGGAGAACAAGUAAUUGGAGAAAAGUUUGGUGACUUGGAUACCAAGGCUUGAAGUGUGGUGGUGUAUGUGAUCAAGGAAGUUAUCAAAUAGUUAGAGCAGGGGCUUAUUGAAUUAAAGCUCUUUUGUUUUGCAGGAUUGUCUUUUUUUCUUCUCUUUCCGACUAUUAUUGGAGGAUAUGUUUUUUACCCAAUAGUUACUGGAGGUUAUCUAAUCCUCCUGCUUUGUACAAAUUCCUUCUUCUUUAAAAUACUAUGUGUCAAUAAAAAAUGUAAUUGAAAAAAAUCCAGGAUAUCAACAAAUUACUUACGAGACUGUCAUAUGUCUUCAUCAAUUUUGUGCAUAUCACAAAACUGGUGAGCUGAAGUUCAUCAAGAUUACCGUUCUAUGAACUGCACAGCAUUCUAAGUUUUUUGCAAUUUCUUAAAGAAGUGCUCUAAUAGUGGUUCUUGGUGAUACUGCUACUUUUGUUUUAAAGAUUUGACAUUGCCGAAAUCUUUUUGGUUUCACAUUGUCUAAAGCUUUGAAAAGAUGUCUGUAUCUAUAUCCAAUUUAUUCUAUAUUAGGCCUGAGAGAUCUCUGUAGAUGAAACUUGUUUCAUAAUUUCCUCUAAUUUUUUUAGCAAAGUCUUACCGUACUCCAUUGCUAUUCAUUCUCCAAGAUUGGCUGCUGGCACAUAAGAAUUGUUGUUUUUUUCUUGGAAUGUUCCAUGGAUUUGGUUGUCUUGGCAUUGUUUUAUCUAUUAGUGAUUAUACAUCUCUUGUCACAUGGUUUAAAUUGCUCUCUACAUGUUUUGAUUUUAAUUAUUUCCAUCACUGGACAUAGAAUUUUAAAAUUUCUGGUGAAGAAGAAAAGAAAUGAUUGGUUAUGGUGAAAUUAACUUCAGUUGUGCACAUGCUAAAAUCUGUUGGAGUUUGCUUAAACAAUCAUAUGUCACGUAAUGUGAUGCAUUGUUAUGAGAUUUUGGAUUUUGUAAUUUCCUUCUAGAAAUUAGUAAUUGGUAAUUUAAGUUGACAAAGUGAGAUUUCUCCUGAUGAGAUGAUCAAUUCUCUUGUCGUUCGUUAUUGAUUUUACUCUAGCAAG